GACGAACCGUCCAAACGUUGUUCGGAAUCACUGGGCUUAAAGGGCUCGUAGGUGGCCAACUAAGUCAGACGUGAAAUCCCUCGGCUUAACCGGGGAACUGCGUCUGAUACUGGAUGGCUUGAGUUUGGGAGAGGGACGCGGAAUUCCAGGUGUAGCGGUGAAAUGCGUAGAUAUCUGGAGGAACACCGGUGGCGAAGGCGGCGUCCUGGACCAACACUGACACUGAGGAGCGAAAGCCAGGGGAGCAAACGGG
rnacentral:rRNA from 1 species